AAGUGGUUUCUCGGGACACACUUGCCCCUCGCCCUCCCGGGGCUGGAAUGAGGUCCGGCGACCAUCAGCAUCCUGUUUCCCAGGAACAGAAGUGCCAGCCUGGCAAGAGUGACUUCCUGAUUUCUUUUGCUGUCGGGUUGCUGGUAUCAGCGUGGCACUGGGGGGCAGGAGAAGAUGAGUUCAAUAUGGCUGCUAACAGGCGAUUUCGUUACUGCACAUGUUUCUAUGUAAAGUGGUGGCGUUGGUGGUGGCGUUGGGUAGCAGGUUCUAAACAAAGAUUGUAAGCUCCUUGAGGGCAGGCACUGUGUUUUCUUUUUCUAGUAUGACUUAGUUAUAUUGUUUCGUUAUGUAUAAACCUUAGAGCAGGUGUGUUUCCUGAUUAGACACAGAAGUCUUUUUUUUACAUGGAGUUUGUUGGGGAGACAGUCUAUAUAAUAAAAGGCUAAUAUGCAAA